GAGUUUUGAUCAUGGCUCAGGAUGAACGCUAGCUACAGGCUUAACACAUGCAAGUCGAGGGGAAAACGACAUCGAAAGCUUGCUUUUGAUGGGCGUCGACCGGCGCACGGGUGAGUAACGCGUAUCCAACCUGCCCACCACUUGGGGGAUAACCUUGCGAAAGUAAGACUAAUACCCCAAUGAUAUCUCUAGAAGACAUCUGAAAGAGAUUAAAGAUUCAUCGGUGAUGGGAUGGGGGAUGCGUCUGAUUAGCUUGUUGGCGGGGUAACGGCCCACCAAGGCAACGAUCAGUAGGGGUUCUGAGAGGAAGGUCCCCCACAUUGGAACUGAGACACGGUCCAAACUCCUACGGGAGGCAGCA
rnacentral:rRNA from 1 species